rnacentral:rRNA from 1 species
AUACGGAGGGUGCAAGCGUUAAUCGGAAUUACUGGGCGUAAAGCGUACGUAGGCGGUUUAUUAAGUCAGAUGUGAAAGCCCCGGGCUUAACCUGGGAACUGCAUUUGAAACUAGUAGACUAGAGUAUGGUAGAGGGGGGUAGAAUUCCUAGUGUAGCGGUGAAAUGCGUAGAUAUUAGGAGGAAUACCAGUGGCGAAGGCGGCCCCCUGGACCAAUACUGACGCUGAGGUACGAAAGCGUGGGGAGCGAACAGGAGUAGAAACCCUAGUAGUCC